CAGCUACAGCUGAGUCCUAAUUCAAGCUAGCAGGCUGGAGGCACAAGGCUCCUCAUCCCAGCACUGACCCCGCUUUGUUCAACAAAUCCGUCUUUGUUCGGCAAAGACUUGAGUGCAAAUUAAGGAAAGCAAGCCAGCUCCGGCGCCCGGGGGGGUGUGUCCCUUGCCCAUUAAUCCAAUCCACGAAGCAGACCAAAAAAAAAAUGACAUCAGAAUUUCUUACAAGAAGUUAUUGCUGGAAAAGCAUCGUGUCCAAGCGUAAAGUGCUCCUCCCGUUCCAUUAAGCAGCAGGAAAUUGCUGUACCUGGGAACAUCAGCUGUGCUUCAGGAAAAGCUUCUCGGUGGAGAUGCUAAUUUGGAAGCUCUGUUUAACAGGAGGGCUGUGAGUCACCGAGAACCUGAGCAACGACUUCUCCCCACCUUGGAGAUCUCCAAAAUGUCCAUUCCAUCUGUCUCCUAUUCAAUUUUCUAUCUGUCCCUGCAGGCGUGGGCUUGAGACAGUCCCACAGCCCUUCCUGCCCUUACAGAAGGCAAGAAGGAAAGCCAACACCGUUAAUCCUCCUGGAGCCAAUGGUGCAUCAAUUCCUCCAUAGAGGGAAUGACUGAAAUCCCAAAUAACUACUUAGCAUCUGAAAGGCUGCACUUCACCUCCUCCAAAGAGGCAUUUGGCUCUGCCUGGCACUGAUUUGGGCACAACUGCUCUUUUGUUGGUUCUCCCAAGAGUAUUCUAUUUUGUAAAUACCCUUUUUUUUCCCCUUGGAGGAGACCAGCUAGUUUUCUUUCAGGACAAUUCCUGGGUUUGCUGUCGCUCCACAAAGGAAAAGUGCAAUAGGGAAAGUGAUUCCCUGCCUGUCUUUGGCCAGAGCAAGAGACCCCGGGGCAGCAGCGUGGCCUCGAGGGACACUGAGUGGUGGCUCCACGGGGUCAGUGCCCUAAAGGAGAGCAGCCUUCAAAAAAGAAGCUGUGCUAAGGAAGCAUCUCAAACCGGGAGAGGAGGAAAAGAGAGGAAGAGAAAUGACGACAGCCACACAAACUCCAUUUCAUACAAUUAAAGAUUUAUACAAGAAAGAUUAAUUAUGUUCCCAAAAGCCUGCGUCGUUCAUGUUGGAGGACUUAGGAUAAAAUGUCUCAUUAAUAAGAGAUGGCAGUAAAAAGGGGUUGGUCACCUUUCUCUUUUUGUUUUGGCUGACCUUAGAAGGAAGGAUGGUUUCCUGCUCUCUGGGGCUCCCUGCAGUGCUCUGCCACUGUGCCCACUCACCCCAAACCUUAACACCUGUCCCUGUCACAGUGGCUGCUCACACUGUCACUCCUUUCCAUCACAGAGCACUCUCCACCCAGGAAAAACAGAAAUCACCCCUCUCUUGAUUCCUAACAGAAUUAGAAUUAACCCCUGGUGUGCUGGCCGGCUUCUCACCGAUGCUCCUGCGCUCCCCCUGAGGCUUCCCACAGCAGAAGCCACCGGACUCCAGGCACGGAGAUCACUGCAUAUCUGAGACCUGCCUCAGGCAGUGUGGAGAGAAGACCCUCAAACAUCAUCCCCCAAGACCUCUGAGACACCAGGAAUCCUCCAAGACCUCUGAGACACCAGGAAGUGGCUUCCCAUCACGAAAGCAUCCUGCACUCUGGUCCCUGGGGACUCGGGAAGAGACUGAAGAGAGCCAAGCCUCUGCUUUUGACUUUCACUUCUAUUUAUCUUGAGGAGAAGCCAAGCAGAGCCAAGAAAGAUAUUUAUAACUCCCCCCUCUCCUCAGCCACCACGGAAACGCUCUGGUUUCGGAGGAGCCCUGGAGCACAGCUGAUGAAAUGCCUCCUGGGAAAGCAUCUUAGCGUUUUUUCAUUCUGCACCAGGAAAGAAGGUACCUGGAGGUUCCUGCCCUUCAGAAGCAACUGAAGAUUGGCAGAUUCCCCUUCCCAUCCUUUCCUACAGCUGCCAAGGGCCCACUUUGCCCUGAAAAGGCUGCAGGGAACACGAGGAGACGUGGAUCAGGAGCAGCCAGGAGGGAGGCAGGGGAGGAGAAACGCAAUCGCCCGCAGAGCCGUGUCAUUUGAUUGGAGUGGGACGCGAGGCUCAGCAAACGCACAGUAAUUCUAUAAAUCCAAACACGCCAAAGGAUUUAUGUCCUCGAUGCCCAAGGAAUAAAUAAGAGGAUGGAGGUUAGGAUUUUUUUUUAGAAGUAUUAUAAAUGAGAAUGAACCUGAUGGAGGUAAAGGUCAGCUUACAGAAUCAACACCACGCAUGCAGUGCAAGCUACUAACUCCCAUCAAGGGAAUAGCACUUAGAGGACUAAGUGCCCUCUGUCUCCCUGCUGCCUUCCCAAAUUGAAUUAGAAUAGAAUAAGGAAAGAGCACUGUUAACUUUUAACCCCAGACCCAGCACCUCCAAGAAAAUGCUCCAGGGAUAUGUCCUGCCUUACAAGCCACAGCCAAAGGUUGGGAAACACUCAGUGAGGAUGCCUGCAACUCCCACGGGGACAGAGCAGGUGCCUGGAGAGUGGCAGAGCAGCAUCCCAGGAUCUGUGGGGGAUGGCAGAGAAUACAGCCACACUGCCCAGGCCAAAAGCCAUGAGUUCCCAAGAGAAGAGAACUGGAUGAUGGAUAACCCACAUUUCACAGGUCUGCCUACAAACUACCGUAGGCUCAAGUGCUCCUCUCUCUCCCUCUCCUGUCCUGGGGACUAAGUCCAAGGAUACAUGAUGAAAGGCCUGUGGUAGCUCCCAGAAAGCAAGUUUUCCUCCACUUCUCCUCCCAAAGUCGUUUAUCAUGAGGCAGGAAAAGCCAGCAACACCACUGUCAUUUCUGACACCACAUUUUCUCCCAUUUAAGACAAUUUUGUUCAGAUGCUGGAAACCCUUCUCCCUCUGAGGUCUGUUCCCCUCAGUUACCCACAAAUUACCCAGCAGACCUCCCUUGGGAUGAGACAACCACUUUCUGAAGGAAGGCAAGAGGUUGGAGACUUGUUCUGAGCGAGAUGGAAUCACAUAUCAAACCGCUUGCUCCUUGCAAACCCGCUCGUACAAACUUCAACCCUUAAACCACAACAACUUCCUUAUCAAAGGCAGAGCAACAGAUCAAACCCAGGAUGCCUUUUUGCCACAUUUUCUUCCCCUUUUUAAGCCUGUAAAAUAGGUUUUGCUGAGGCAAGGAGGAGGAUGACUCCUCAAUGAAGAAGUUAAAACAGGCGCCUAAAUGAUGUCGUGUUCCAAAGCGCGGGUGUUUGUCAAGCUGUCCUCCUCGGGGGGCUCGCUUCCCACAGACAACCUUCCUGGAAUGAGACAGCACCUCUGUGUUCCAGCCUGGGAACAACAGCAAUAAAUCACAGCUAAUCCACAUAAGGACAGCAGCGAUGUGUUUCAGCUCGGGUUAUGAAGAGCGGAGGUGCCAACGCAAACCGGGGCUUUUAAAUCACCCGUCACGGGCUCAACAAGCAUGAGAAAUAUUAAUGGAUUCGGCUGAAGAAGCAUUGGGAAGUGGGAGGACAAAGUAAGUCCACGGAAAGGAAGGGAGUCAGAGGUAUUUAAAACUUCCUUCACGUAAUCUCUGGCUUGCAUUCACGCUGCCUUGGCCUGGAUUUUGCCACUACCAUCAGGAUUAUUGAUCAGUUUUUAAAGCCUUACGUCGUUUACAGUAGUCAGCCAAAAAAAGACCCAUCCUGAAUCAAUAAAAAGUCCAAGCAGCUCUGCUGAGAACCUCGGAUAUGCCGAGGGAAAAACAACGCACUGCAAUGCCUUCCAAUUAAAAAUUCCCACUAACAAGGGGAUAAAAUGGAUGUACACACACACACACACACCUCCCUGGACUGCAGGGAGUUCUGCUGUGAACUCCAGCCCCAGAAAGCAGUGCCUUAGGACUGGGCUAUUAUAGAUCAACAGCCCAAAAUUGUCCCCGGUGACUCAGCGCUGCGGGCGAGCAGCGCCGUGUAAUGUCAUUAUAGCCUGUGACAAUCCGCCUCACAAACCCCACUGCCCUCGGCAGGGAGCUGAGGGAGGGUCCUGUUUUCCAUAUCUGGAACAAACACAGAAAUUAACAACUUUGGAGAGGCUGGGAGGAGGACGCUCGUAGCUCCAGGAGCCUAUGGCUGUGGAUGAGCUCGCUGUCAUUCCCUCUGCCCGGUCCAUGCUGAGGGUGGGACGCCAGCAAUCCCUCCUCUGCCGUCUCUCCUGGGUGGAAGAUGUUUAUCCACCCCAGGAUCUCAUGCCUGAAGGAAGGGUGUGAACAGGCUGAGCACCACUGGCCUCCAUGGUAGAGCACGUGCAGGAGGAUCACGCUGACGGACAACCCAGCGCUGGGAAUCGGGGUCUGGCAGCCCACGGCAGCGCACGGAGAGCUCUAAGCAGGAGAUUAAAGGGAGGCUUUGGAGGAGCUGGAGGCUUUACAGCUUCAGCUGCUCCGCACAAAGUGACAACACUCACCAGCUCGCCCGCCGGCAGCACAGCCCCAUCGCGUCCCGAUCGGGAGCAACGAGGGAACAGGCUCGGAAAGCUGGGAGAUUUCCGCUGGAAAUCAGCAUUUUAUGGUGCUGCUAUCCCUCCAGGGAAGGGGAGGAACAAACAAAAUCCCAGGCAUCCGCUGACAAGCAUGGAGAAAAAUUAAGCGGCGUUUCUGAAGAGGUGCCUCAACACAGAGCAACAAAACCUGUUUGUCUGCAGACUUUCUGCGCUCUCCCCUGGAAAUUUCUCCAUCUCGUAAGGGAUGAUAUAUUUGAAUUAAAGUUUGUAUCCCACAGCUUGGGAUGGAAAACACUGGAGAAGAGCAGGGAACAAUCACCCUUCCAAAUCAUCUGGCUAAAGCACAAUGCGCAGUUCCCAUGCCAGACACAACAGGAAGGCACUGACUGCUUGGCAGAGUGCUGGAUUACUGAUACCAGCACCAGGCAAAAAGGACUGAUGGGAGGAAGUGGCAAAAACAUGGCAAGAUUAAAAAUCUUAAAAAAUUAAAUUUUGAAACGUGCAAGUAACACUCAGAAACACUGAUGGGCUCUAAGGGAGUGGGCUGAACUCCAGGGAACUCUGUCCAUCCGAGUUCCUCUGCAUACCCUCCUUUGCUGGCACAAACCACAGACUCCAAUCCUGCUUUUGGGAUUCCACCUACUUGUUUAAUGCACCUCAGUCCUGCAGCCUCCCACACAGACCUGCCAGGACCUCUCCAGAAGGCUGUUAUCUCCAAAGCUGCCACAGCUCCCAGGUUGCAGUAUGUGCUGGCAGAGCUCUUUUUUCCUCAUCCCAAAAAAUUCACCAAACUCCAUCCCAGUCGUGACCCAAACUCCCCCAAAUUACGACAGACAAACCCCAAAACCAAAUCACCUGGUGGCUCUCAGAAGAUGACAAAUAACCAGGCAAAUUGUCAAGAUCUGGGGACUUUGCUAAAUAAGUAGAUUCUUCUUCCUUCUAUUUUUGACAUUCAAAAUUUCCUGAAACAAUUUGGUGCCAAAAAAAGAAA